rnacentral:misc_RNA from 1 species
CCAGGUGAACAACAUUGAGCGGCGCAAGCGAGCGAUUUCAAAGCGAUUCCGAGGCGAUUUCGAGGCGGUACGAAAUCGAAUUCAACCGAAGUGCGCGUCGGCCCUUCGUUGUUGUUGUUUUUUUUUUUCAGUUACACUCUGUUGUUUGAGAGUGCGAGUGUGAGCGAGAUAGCGAACGAGAGUGUGGGAGUGGUGCGACAAGGAAGGAGCACCAGCCUCCUUUGAAUAUUCAGUGCGCCAGGACGAGAGAAUCGAAACGAAUCGGAACGAAACGCAACGAAACGAAACGAGAGGAAACGAGACUUCGCAGGACCUUUUUUUGGGGGCAACUGGCGCGAGGACGUCGCUGCGGCGAACAGAAACACGCUGGCCGUUGACCGAGUGGCAACGCAGCCCGGAGAAUCGGCAUUGGAAUUGAAGAAUUCCCCUACUUUUUUCAGAAGAAUCAAGAGUAUCGUAUCGUAUCAUCGUAGUGCAUCGCAUCGCAUUGAAUCGAAUCGAAUCGGAUAGGCUGAAAGCAAAACUGAGAGACUAAGAAUUGGCAGCUGUUGCAUGCAGUUGCGGCAGACUCAGUGACGCCGCGAGUGACGUCGCCGCGUCUUGUUUUUGUUGUUUGUUUGUUUGGUGACCCCGACGCGAAACGAUCCUCGCGAGUGUGUGACCGGGACAGCAAUAUAUACAUAUAAUCCUCGGAGAAACAAUUGAAGAAAACAGUGCCAGAGAGAAAGAGUACGAGGUAUUUCGCAUUCGAGCCAAUGGUCAGAGCGACAGGGACAAGGAUGGGCCUGCUCCUGCCCGUUAUCCUGGCACUGGCCAUCGGAUCCUUGGCCGCCGGCAUAUCCUCCAAUGAUCCCUGCUACUUUGAGGGCAAGCCGCGCAAGUGUCUGCCCAGUUUCGUGAAUGCCGCCUAUGGAAAUCCCGUCCAGGCAUCCAGCGUUUGUGGCGCCCAACAGCCGGAGCGGUACUGCGAGCUGCUGCGCGAUGGUAAUGCCGGCGAGUGUCGUUCAUGCGAACAGCAGCGAUAUGGUCCGGCGGCAUUAACCGAUCUGAAUAAUCCCAGCAAUGUGACCUGCUGGCGAUCGGGUGCCGUGAAUGUGCCCCACGAUCCGGACAGUGCGCCGCCGGAUAAUGUGACCCUAACCUUGUCGCUGGGCAAGAAGUACGAGCUGACCUAUAUAUCGUUGUCCUUUUGUCCCCGCUCGCCGCGUCCCGAUUCGCUGGCCAUAUUCAAGAGCUCGGAUUUUGGGCAGACCUGGCAACCCUUCCAGUUCUAUAGCUCACAGUGUCAGAAGUUCUAUGGACGACCAGAUCGAGCAAAGAUCUCCAAGUUUAAUGAGCAGGAGGCAAGAUGCAUUAAUUCGCAACAUGAUACGGGCGGAGCUGCCCAGCGAUUUGCCUUCAAUACGCUAGAGGGUCGUCCGUCGGCGAAUGAUUUGGACUCGUCGCUGGUCCUGCAGGAUUGGGUGACAGCAACGGAUAUACGUGUGGUAUUCCAUCGCCUGGAAUUGCCACCGCAACUGCUGAAGGUGAAGAAUGCGAACGCCUUUAGCGAUGAAAUGGGCGGCAGUCGCGAGGAGGAUGAGGAUGAUGAUGCCGAUCUGGAAUUGGAUGGCGAGCAGGAUGAGUACGACUACAAUUUGCAGGACAACGAUAGUGCCGAUGCUGGUUACGACGAGUACGAGGAGCCCAAAAAGCAUUUGGAACUGGAUGACGAUCAUCUGCAUUUGGACUAUGCCAGCGAUGGUGAAUCGAUUGUUAAGCGGCAGGGCAAGCACAAGGGUAGCGCCUAUGAGAAACACUACCAGAGCAAACUGGCGGCCACCACGCCCCCACAACAGUCACCCAAGGUGACGUCACCUGGCAAGGCCACGCCCCCUAGCACAGCUGCCCCCUCCAUCGCGGCCGCCGCUGCCGCCGCCUCAGCCGUGACAUUGCCCAUUUCGCAGCAUUACGCCGUAUCGGAUUUCGCCGUCGGCGGACGUUGCAAGUGCAAUGGUCACGCCUCCGAGUGUGUGGCCACCGUCAGUUCGGGAUCGGGAACGGCACUUGCGGAUCAAGAUGAUGGACAGGACGAGGACACGCCCUCCGCCCCCUCGCUGGCCACCCACUUCGGCGGCCGGAGCACCCAGAUGAGCGCCAAACUGACCAUGACCUGCGCCUGCAAGCACAACACCGCCGGCCCGGAAUGCGAACGCUGCAAGCCCUUCUACUUCGACCGACCCUGGGGCAGGGCCACCGACAACGAUGCCAACGAGUGCAAAAUGUGCCAGUGCAACGGACACGCCCGUCGCUGCCGCUUCAAUCUGGAGCUGUACAAACUAUCUGGCCGGGUUUCGGGAGGUGUGUGCUACAACUGCCAGCACGAUACUACCGGAAGAUACUGCCACUACUGCCGCGAGGGAUAUUAUCGGGAUGCCACUAAGCCGCCAAAUCAUCGCAAAGUCUGCAAGCGUUGCGAUUGCCAUCCAGUUGGUUCGACGGGCAAGACGUGCAAUCACCUGAGUGGCCAGUGUCCCUGCAAGGAGGGCGUCACCGGACUAACGUGCAACCGAUGUGCCCGCGGCUAUCAGCAGACCCGCUCCCACGUGGCACCCUGCAUCAAGGUGCCCACCAAUGCGAACAUGAUUCAGGCCGAGAGCGCUGGCGGCGGUGGAGGUGGUGGCACUGGUGACUACAAGGAUGGUGGUGGCUCGCAGGUCGAGGAGAUGAAGAAGUACUGCGGCAAGUGCAAGGCGAGUCCCAAGAAGCUCAAUCUCAACAAGUUUUGCAUGGAAGAUUAUGCAAUUUUGGCGAAGGUGAUUGGCCACGAUCGCGCCUCCCAGGACAUCAGCACGGAAAAGUUCUCGAUAGAGCGACAGAACGAGAUCUACAAGUACGAGAUCAACAUCCAGACGAUCUUCAAGCGGAAUCCCAUGUCGGGCACAACGAGUUCCCUGCUCGGAAGGGGCAAUAUGAUGCUGCUGGUGCCGCGCAAGAGCAUCGAGUGCCAGUGUCCAAAAAUAAAGCUAAACAAAUCAUAUCUCAUACUUGGACGUGACUCGGAGGCGGCGCCCGGUUACUUGGCCAUUGGACCGAGCUCGGUGGUCCUUGAAUGGAAGGACGAGUGGUCGCUACGCAUGAAGCGGUUCCAGCGGCGGGCACGCAAAUGCAGUUGAAUCGAACCGGAAACGGAAUAUGUCAGAGCGGAUUUCAAUUUCACACACUUGGCUAGCGAAAAUCGAACAUGAGGAGGGUAAGAAGCAAGAGAGCUAAAAUGUAUUUAUAUGUUAUAUGGAACCCGAACUGGAAAGUUUGAACGAUCCAAUGGACUUACUUGUAGAUCACUUCCCUUUUGGUUUGCGAAUGCAUUAAGCAUGGCCUACUAAUCACAUAUCCUUCGACCACACACAAAUAAACACAAUUAAUUAUUGAAUAAUGUUUUUUUUUUAUUGGUCAGACUAAUAUGAAUAUCAAGCGUGUGUGUCCAAAACGAAUUAUUCAUAUGGUAAGCUAAAACAAAACAAAAAAAACAAACAAACAAACCCAUACAUACAUAUAAAAUAUAAAUAUAAUCAAAAAAGAAACGCAAACAUUUUUUUUCUUAGAUUUUUUGUAAAUACUCAAAAAACGUAAGGAUUGAAGAAGAAGAAACGCUGAGGCAAAUAGAACUAUAUAUAUAUAGAUAUAUAUAUUGAUAAAUUGAUUACAUUUUCGAUUAUUGCUAAUUAUUAUGUUGAAUCAUUAAUUGCACACACACACACUUACACACACCCACAAACAAGAAAAGGCAGCAGAAGAAAGCAAGAGAAAUUCACAUUGUCUGAUAUUAAAGUAUUGUA